rnacentral:rRNA from 1 species
CGGCGCAUUAGCUAGUUGGUGAGGUAACGGCUCACCAAGGCCACGAUGCGUAGCCGACCUGAGAGGGUGAUCGGCCACAUUGGAACUGAGACACGGUCCAGACUCCUACGGGAGGCAGCAGUGGGGAAUAUUGCACAAUGGGCGAGAGCCUGAUGCAGCAACGCCGCGUGAGUGAUGAAGGCCUUCGGGUCGUAAAGCUCUUUGAUCAGGGAUGAUAAUGACAGUACCUGAAAAACAAGCCACGGCUAACUACGUGCCAGCAGCCGCGGUAAUACGUAGGUGGCGAGCGUUGUCCGGAAUUAUUGGGCGUAAAGGAUGCGUAGGUGGAUAUUUAAGUGGGAUGUGAAAUCCCCGGGCUCAACCCGGGAACUGCAUUCCAUACUGGAUAUCUAGAGUGCAGGAGAGGAAAGCGGAAUUCCUAGUGUAGCGGUGAAAUGCGUAGAUAUUAGGAGGAACACCAGUGGCGAAGGCGGCUUUCUGGACUGUAACUGACACUGAGGCAUGAAAGCGUGGGUAGCAAACAGGAUUAGAUACCCUGGUAGUCCACGCCGUAAACGAUGGGUACUAGGUGUAGGAGGUAUCGACCCCUUCUGUGCCGUCGUUAACACAAUAAGUAC